GAUGAACGCUGGCGGCGUGCCUAAUACAUGCAAGUCGAGCGAACAGACGAGGAGCUUGCUCCUCUGACGUUAGCGGCGGACGGGUGAGUAACACGUGGAUAACCUACCUAUAAGACUGGGAUAACUUCGGGAAACCGGAGCUAAUACCGGAUAAUAUAUUGAACCGCAUGGUUCAAUAGUGAAAGACGGUUUUGCUGUCACUUAUAGAUGUAUCCGCGCCGCAUUAGCUAGUUGGUAAGGUAACGGCUUACCAAGGCGACGAUGCGUAGCCGACCUGAGAGGGUGAUCGGCCACACUGGAACUGAGACACGGUCCAGACUCCUACGGGAGGCAGCAGUAGGGAAUCUUCCGCAAUGGGCGAAAGCCUGACGGGGCAACGCCGCGUGAGUGAUGAAGGUCUUCGGAUCGUAAAACUCUGUUAUUAGGGAAGAACAAAUGUGUAAGUAACUAUGCACGUCUUGACGGUACCUAAUCAGAAAGCCACGGCUAACUACGUG
rnacentral:rRNA from 1 species